GUAGGCUAUUAUUAACAUGUUGGUAACAACAUCUUUAUUUUAACGAGACAAGUAAACAGUUUGUUACAAAAAGACCGACGACAAUUACAUUUUAACUCUCACCAAGCCGUUUGCCUAGGUUUUCUACUGCCGUUGUCUAAACUCACACCUUAUUUUGCUGAUAUUGCUAAACACCCAUUCAUUUUUCCAUAUGAAUUCUUUCUUUGGGACCAGAAAGUGUUAAAAUGCUACCACUAAAAACUACAAAUUUCGGUCGUCGGAUACUCUAUUUCCCCUUUUGUUCCGAGUUCCGGUGUCUGCGGUGUUAAAAUAAAAGUUCGUUACCUUAAUUUCGCCUUUUGACCUACAAAACGUUUGCGAAAGUCCUGGCCUGCUGGUGUCUGCGACGAAGAUCGAAAAAGGGAGCUACCCAAUGUAAACCAAUCGAAUGUACCUAAACCAAAGAAAGGUACCUCGAAGUUUGAACUGGAGAGCUACCUAGAGAUGGAGCUAAUGUUUCUAAAGACGCGCUUCAGUCCACGUCACUGUCCAGUUCCAGGUAUUACCGUCACAAGCGUUUCCUUACCCCUUUCAAUGAAGUCAGGUCAACUGUAAGAUUACCUUGCCCCAUGGAGUCGGGUAAAGGUUGGACUCUUCCACAAGAGCAGAUUUGCAAGGAUAAGAAAGCAGUUCCUCGCCAGCAAUCUAGCAGCUCCCCACCAGCUGUUAUGGCUCGGGACGCUUCGUACAAUAACGAGCCAGAGGACGAAGAGCUUGCAAGAAAAAGGGGAGAAUUGUACUUAGUUGAGGAGCAAAUAUCUCGGAAAAGGACUAACAUUGAUUUGAAAAACAAUGACCUGCAACGAACGCCCCAGUACCGCGAAAAGGAUGAUAAAGAUGUGGAGGAAGAUGAAGAAUGGGACAAUGAAAUCAAGGCCUCUAAUCCUGCCCCACCUUCAUUUAUGAAAGGUUUUGUGGACAAGAGAAAUGCAGAAAUCCUGCAGAGAGAUUUGGAGCAGAAACGUAAGGCCCAAUCAGACCUCAACACAACCCCAGAACACAGAGUUGAAGCUUUGAGACCUCACCGCCACUCAGGGCAUGCACUGCCAUCUCCAGUUUCCAAGCAGAGUCCAGCUGAACAGGCUGAUCCCUUCAGUGGUCCACUUUUGAAGGGCUUUGAUCAUUUCCUCAGCGUCCUUAACCAAGGGGUGGAUGUACAGAGGCUGUCUGAGAUAGUGAAUGAGGCUCAGGCUGAAGUUGUGAAUAACAAGCCAGCUGCUCCUAUUCGUGGUGAGACAUGUAGGAGUGUGGAUGUAGACGAUAAAAAGUACAGAGAAUCGAAAGACAAGGAAAAGGGGUCCAAAAGGAAGAUAAAGGACUCCAGAUAUGGGAAUAGUCCCUCAAGAGACAAGGACAGACAGUCUAGAGACUCAAGAGAGAGAGACAGGGGCUGGGACUUGAGAGAGGAAGACAUGAAUUUAAGACACAAGAAGUUGGAGUCGAAAGAUGAUUGCAGGGAUUCAGAACACAGAGGCAGCAUAUCUAAGAUGGGGGACGGGGAAUUGGGAAACAGGGACAGGAAUGUGAGAAACAAAGACAAGGACACAAACGACCUUAGACAGGAUUCCCUGAGCCCGAGGAGAAGAUGCUCAAGAGACAGGAGGAGCAGGAGCAGGUCUUCUAGCUCCAUCUCAUCGUCCUCAGAGGACGAGAGGAAGAUGGAGAAAAAGGAACAUCUCUCCAGGGUCCAGACCCUCCUCCAGAUAGUGGGGCUUGACUUGGGGAUAGAGGGGCUGGACCGACUCAGGGGUAGGACCCAAGAGAUGCUCCAUGGGACAAAGCAUCCAAGAGGCAGAGGGGAUGGCAGGCAGCGACGACGACGGCACAGGGACUCUUCAUGGUCAGAAAGCUUGCAUGAUUCUUCCCCAGAUUCUCACCAUAGGCGACAUGACUCCCAGAAGCACAGAGGUUCCCAUGGCACUGAACGCCCUCGGAGGGUUUCUGAAACAAACCUCACUCAAUCAGUACAGGAAGUUACUGGAAGCUACCCUAUCAGCCCUGCUCCCCAGAAUAUGCCCGUGUCCACAUUCUCACAGCCUCCACUAGCAAACUAUUCAAGCUAUACAGCGAUGUAUCAUAACUCCUAUGAUGGCCAGGACCACAGUGCCUCUGUCCAGAGCUGGACUGCUGUUGGGUGGAGUGGAGUGCCGCCUCCUGGCCCUCCCUGUUCCUAUGGCCCACCUCUUGGCAACAUAUUACCAGGGACCCCUCAGUUCACCCCUCCGCCUUUGAUGGUCACAGGCUCCCACAAUGCACCAUACCAGCUUCCACCACCUCAGUAUCCUACGCACUUGGGACCUCCACCACUACUACCAGCAUCACAACCCCCACGUCAUCUGCUUCCACCACCACAAUUCUCAUGUCAACUGCCUCCACCGCCCCACCUCCUGCCACCCCCGCAUCCACCACUCCUACCCCCAUCUCAUCUGCCUCCACCACUCCUACCCCCAUCUCAUCUGCCUCCACCACUCCUACCUCCUCCUCAUAUGCCUCCACCAACACCACCACAACCCCCACCUCAUCUUCCGCCACCGCCCCACCUCCACCCACCCCCACGUCCACUCCUUCCAAACCCUUCUUUUCCACCUUCAGCUUACCCGCUUCUCCCAUCAACCCCACCCCCGCCACCCAAACAGGUGACAGCUGCGCCGAAUCUCAGGGUGGCCGAGAUGCAGGGGUCAUCAGAGAAGGACUUGACAGCAGCGGACCUCCCACCUUUUCCACAAGAAUGUGAACCACCAUGGAAGAGCGGGGUGACUUCCACGGAUUACGCGCUGCUGUGCAGUAUUUACCCGAAGGAAAAAAGAAAAACCAAGAAGGAUAUCGCUGCUGGGGCUGCCGUCUGUAGCCCUGCUGUUGUUGCCGCCGCAAAAGCAGCGUGCCACGCAGCUCUGCCAGGAGGGAGUGAACCAGCAGCGAAGAGCGGGGUGACGCAUUACAAGAAAUGUCAAGAACUUAUUGUUGCUUCUUUUUCUGAGUCGCAAACUAAGCCCACCAAGAGGGAACUAAGAUAUCUGGCCUGGAGGGUCACAAAGAAGGCUAAGAAGGCUGAGAAGGCUGAGAAGGCUGUCUGCACAUGCUAUGGCUAUGGGUGCAGACACUGUGGCCGUGCUGUAACUGCACCGCCUGCUAAGCUUGGUAGAACACUAAAGGGUAGGCAGAAGGUGGCGAAGGCAGGAUGUAGAAGGGGAAAAUGGACGCCUCAGAAGGCUGCUCUGGAUGUUGCUGGGACUGCUACUGCGACUGCGACUGCUGUGGCUUCAGCAGGUACAACUGGUGACCACUGAUGGUCCUCCAGCUUCCAAAGCUGAUGAGCAGCAACAGCCAUGAAACACGCAAUAAGCACAGGGAAGCUGAGCUAGCAGUAGCAAAAACCCAGACAUGAUUGGAUGAACUCAGUAAAGACAUGGUAGGGUAACGGAGGAAAAUAUUGACCCUGAUUGGCUGAUGAAGAAGGACAAAUACAGUGCCCUAUCGCUGGCCCUUACCCACAUGACUGGACAUGUUUGAGAGAACAUCCAUUAUUUUUCCGUUCUGCCAUAACCUGUUGAAGUAUCUUGUUCUUUGAUCUGUUUCCACACAUGACUUUUGACCAUAGACGUUUGGAGACGAUCUCAGUACCAUAUAGGGAAUCACCACACCCCCACACAAUCCCUAAACUCAGAGAAUGUGUAUUUCCAUCUUGAAUUUAAUUAAUCUCGAAUGUUUCCUACAUGUACCUACAUGUGUAUGUAACAUUUGACUUGUAAUUUCUUUCUGUUGUCUGUCUGUAGGAAUAAAGUUAUAAACAUUGCUGCUCCCA
rnacentral:lncRNA from 1 species